AAAUUGAAGAGUUUGAUCAUGGCUCAGAUUGAACGCUGGCGGCAGGCCUAACACAUGCAAGUCGAGCGGUAGCACAGAGAGCUUGCUCUCGGGUGACGAGCGGCGGACGGGUGAGUAAUGUCUGGGAAACUGCCUGAUGGAGGGGGAUAACUACUGGAAACGGUAGCUAAUACCGCAUAACGUCGCAAGACCAAAGUGGGGGACCUUCGGGCCUCAUGCCAUCAGAUGUGCCCAGAUGGGAUUAGCUAGUAGGUGGGGUAACGGCUCACCUAGGCGACGAUCCCUAGCUGGUCUGAGAGGAUGACCAGCCACACUGGAACUGAGACACGGUCCAGACUCCUACGGGAGGCAGCAGUGGGGAAUAUUGCACAAUGGGCGCAAGCCUGAUGCAGCCAUGCCGCGUGUGUGAAGAAGGCCUUCGGGUUGUAAAGCACUUUCAGCGGGGAGGAAGGCGAUAAGGUUAAUAACCUUGUCGAUUGACGUUACCCGCAGAAGAAGCACCGGCUAACUCCGUGCCAGCAGCCGCGGUAAUACGGAGGGUGCAAGCGUUAAUCGGAAUUACUGGGCGUAAAGCGCACGCAGGCGGUCUGUCAAGUCGGAUGUGAAAUCCCCGGGCUCAACCUGGGAACUGCAUUCGAAACUGGCAGGCUAGAGUCUUGUAGAGGGGGGUAGAAUUCCAGGUGUAGCGGUGAAAUGCGUAGAGAUCUGGAGGAAUACCGGUGGCGAAGGCGGCCCCCUGGACAAAGACUGACGCUCAGGUGCGAAAGCGUGGGGAGCAAACAGGAUUAGAUACCCUGGUAGUCCACGCCGUAAACGAUGUCGAUUUGGAGGUUGUGCCCUUGAGGCGUGGCUUCCGGAGCUAACGCGUUAAAUCGACCGCCUGGGGAGUACGGCCGCAAGGUUAAAACUCAAAUGAAUUGACGGGGGCCCGCACAAGCGGUGGAGCAUGUGGUUUAAUUCGAUGCAACGCGAAGAACCUUACCUGGUCUUGACAUCCACAGAACUUUCCAGAGAUGGAUUGGUGCCUUCGGGAACUGUGAGACAGGUGCUGCAUGGCUGUCGUCAGCUCGUGUUGUGAAAUGUUGGGUUAAGUCCCGCAACGAGCGCAACCCUUAUCCUUUGUUGCCAGCGGUU
rnacentral:rRNA from 1 species